rnacentral:rRNA from 1 species
CGCUCGUCUCAAAGAUUAAGCCAUGCAUGUGUAAGUAUAAAUAAUUUUACUUUGAAACUGCGAAUGGCUCAUUAUAUCAGUUAUAGUUUAUUAGAAAUAUUUUACUACUUGGAUAACCGUAGUAAUUCUAGGGCUAAUACAUGAGUAAAACCUCAACUUCGGAAGAGGUGUGUUUAUUAGUAUGAAAACCAUAUAUCUUCGGAUAUAAUAGUGAGUAAUAAUAACCUUUCAUAUCGUAUGUCGUAAGAUAACGAUAGUUCUUUCAAGUUUCUGCCCUAUCAGCUUUCGAUGGUAGUAUAUGGGACUACCAUGGCAGUAACGGGUAACGAAGAAUUUGGGUUCGAUUUCGGAGAGGGAGCCUGAGAGAUGGCUACCACAUCCAAGGAAGGCAGCAGGCGCGUAAAUUACCCAAUCCUGACAUAGGGAGGUAGUGACAAUAAAUCACAAUGCGGAACUUUU